rnacentral:rRNA from 1 species
AGGGGGAUAACGGUUGGAAACGACCGCUAAUACCCCAUAUGCCUACUGGUGAAAUGAAUUUCGCCUGAGGAUGAGCUCGCGUCUGAUUAGCUAGUUGGUGAGGUAAUGGCUCACCAAGGCUUCGAUCAGUAGCUGGUCUGAGAGGAUGAUCAGCCACACUGGGACUGAGACACGGCCCAGACUCCUACGGGAGGCAGCAGUGGGGAAUUUUCCGCAAUGGGCGAAAGCCUGACGGAGCAACGCCGCGUGAGGGACGAAGGCCUCUGGGCUGUAAACCUCUUUUCUCAAGGAAGAAGAUAUGACGGUACUUGAGGAAUAAGCCACGGCUA